GGUACGAGAUGGGCAUGCGUGACAUUAGCUAGUUGGUAAGGUAACGGCUUACCAAGGCUUCGAUGUCUAGGGGUCCUGAGAGGGUGAUCCCCCACACUGGUACUGAGACACGGACCAGACUCCUACGGGAGGCAGCAGUAAGGAAUAUUGGUCAAUGGGCGCAAGCCUGAACCAGCCAUGCCGCGUGAAGGAUGACGGCCCUAUGGGUUGUAAACUUCUUUUGUACGGGAAAAAACCACCGGUCGAGUAUCGGUGCUGAUGGUACCGUAAGAAUAAGCAUCGGCUAACUCCGUGCCAGCAGCCGCGGUAAUACGGAGGAUGCAAGCGUUAUCCGGAUUUAUUGGGUUUAAAGGGUGCGUAGGCGGAUUAAUAAGUCAGUGGUGAAAACCUUCAGCUUAACUGGAGAACUGCCAUUGAUACUGUUAGUCUUGAGUACGGUCAAGGUAGGCGGAAUGUGUAAUGUAGCGGUGAAAUGCUUAGAUAUUACACAGAACACCGAUUGCGAAGGCAGCUUACUGGGCCAUUACUGACGCUGAUGCACGAAAGCGUGGGGAGCGAACAGGAUUAGAUACCCUGGUAGUCCACGCCGUAAACGAUGAUCACUCGCUGUUAGCGAUACACAGUUAGCGGCUAAGCAAAAGCAUUAAGUGAUCCACCUGGGGAGUACGGCCGCAAGGCUG
rnacentral:rRNA from 1 species